UACGUAGGGAGCGAGCGUUGUCCGGAAUCACUGGGCGUAAAGGGCGCGUAGGCGGUCUGUUAAGUUGCAUGUGAAAGACCAGGGCUUAACCCUGGGGUGUCAUGCAAAACUGGGAGACUUGAGUGCAGUAGAGGGAAGUGGAAUUCCUGGUGUAGCGGUGAAAUGCGUAGAUAUCGGGAGGAACACCGGUGGCGAAGGCGGCUUUCUGGCCAGUUACUGACGCUCAUGCGCGAAAGCUGGGGUAGCGAACCGGAUUAGAUACCCCUGUA
rnacentral:rRNA from 1 species